CGUAGUCGAUGGAUAACAGGUUGAAAUUCCUGUACCGCAUAUAAACAGAACUGUGGGGACACAGACAGGGAAUGGAAUCCGGGAGUGGAAAUCCCGGUGCAAGCGAGGUAGGAGUGCUGUUGGCAAAUCCGCAGCAUGAUCUGAAGACGUGACGCGUACCGAACAUAAGUAGGGAAGUCCAGGCCCCUGGCUGUCAAGAAAAGCCGCUAUUGUUUUAUAUGUGCCCGUACCGCAAACCGACACAGGUGGAUGAGGAGAGAAUCCUAAGGCCGACGGGAGAAGUAUUGUUAAGGAACUCGGCAAAAUGACUCCGUAACUUCGGGAGAAGGAGUGCCAUGAGAGUGGCCGCAGAGAAAUGGCCCAAGCAACUGUUUAGCAAAAACACAGGUCUAUGCAAAACCGCAAGGUGAAGUAUAUGGGCUGACGCCUGCCCGGUGCUGGAAGGUUAAGGGGAGAGGUUAGCGCAAGCGAAGCUUUGAACUUAAGCCCCAGUAAACGGCGGCCGUAACUAUAACGGUCCUAAGGUAGCGAAAUUCCUUGUCGGGUAAGUUCCGACCCGCACGAAAGGCGUAAUGAUUUGGGCACUGUCUCAACGAUACACCCGGUGAAAUUGAAAUACCAGUGAAGAUGCUGGUUACCUGCGCCAGGACGGAAAGACCCCAUGGAGCUUUACUCCAGUUUGAUACUGGGAUUCGGCAUGGUAUGUACAGGAUAGGUGGGAGACUGAGAAGGUAUGACGUCAGUUGUACCGGAGUCGCUGUUGGGAUACCACCCUUACCAUGUUGGAUUUCUAACCUGUGGCCGUAAGCCGGUCAGGGGACAAUGUCAGGCGGGGAGUUUGACUGGGGCGGUCGCCUCCGAAAGGGUAUCGGAGGCGCUCAAAGGUUCCCUCAGAAUGGUUGGAAACCAUUCGAAGAGUGCAAAGGCAGAAGGGAGCUUGACUGUGACACCGACGGGUGGAGCAGGUACGAAAGUAGGACUUAGUGAUCCGGUGGUAUAAAGUGGGAUUGCCAUCGCUCAACGGAUAAAAGCUACCCUGGGGAUAACAGGCUUAUCACUCCCAAGAGUUCACAUCGACGGAGUGGUUUGGCACCUCGAUGUCGGCUCAUCGCAUCCUGGAGCUGUAGCAGGUUCCAAGGGUUGGGCUGUUCGCCCAUUAAAGCGGUACGCGAGCUGGGUUCAGAACGUCGUGAGACAGUUCGGUCCCUAUCCGGCGCAGGCGGAGGAAAUUUGAUAGGAGCUGUCCUUAGUACGAGAGGACCGGGAUGGACGGACCGCUGGUGUAUCUGUUGUACUGCCAAGUGCAUAGCAGAGUAGCCAAGUCUGGAAGGGAUAAACGCUGAAGGCAUCUAAGCGUGAAGCCCCCCUAAAGAUAAGAUUUCCCAUACCAAAAGGUAGUAAGACCCCUUGAAGACGACGAGGUAGAUAGGGCAGAGGUGGAAGUACGGUAACGUAUGGAGCUGACUGUUACUAAUCGGUCGAGGCUUUAACC
rnacentral:rRNA from 1 species